AGCUGUCAAUCAGGCGCGGGCUGAGCUCUACGAGGCGGAGCGGCGGCGGUGGCGGCGGCGAUGGGACCCCAGCGAGAGAUCUGCAGCUAGGCUGGCUGCACUUGCUCCACGGGUCAGGGGAUCGGAGGGGGAUUGAAGAAUGUGCCAUUAAAAGGAAAGAUCAAGGAGUAAACCAAAAGAAGAAGAAAAAGAGGACUUCAAAGGUGCCUGGCACAUAGUGCUUUAAAAACACUGAAGGAAGGGGAGGAUGAAAAAUGGAGGACUACUCAGGCCUUCAGCCACACCAACCCAUGUAGAACUCUGCAGGAAGUUUCAACGUACUGGAGAUUAAAGUGGUCAACAGUACAGAAAAUGUCCCUGCCCACAUGUAGCUUACACUCUAUCAUGUAUAUGGUCUAUCAGACCAUAAGUAAAUAAACCACACAUAGAAUAUCAGAUAGUAACAAGUGCUAGGAAGAGAAACAAACCUAGACAAGGGGAUAGAAAGUAAUGGAACACUGAUAUUUAGAUAUAUUGAUUAUAGAAAGCCUCUCAGAAGAAUUUGGUAGGGAGUGGCAGCAUAAUUUUUUUCCCUCCUCUGGUCUCUGAGUUAUGAU
rnacentral:sRNA from 1 species